rnacentral:misc_RNA from 1 species
AAAAUGCGAUAAGUAAUGUGAAUUGCAGAAUUCAGUGAAUCAUCGAAUCUUUGAACGCACAUUGCGCCCGCCAGUAUUCUGGCGGGCAUGCCUGUCUGAGCGUCAUUUCGACCCUCGGGACCCCGUUCGCGGGACCCGGCGUUGGGGAUCAGCCCGAAGCCCCCCCGGGGCGGGCGGCUGGCCCCGAAAUCUAGUGGCGGUCCCCCCAGCGACCUCCUCUGCGCAGUAGUAACUCACCUCGCAGCUGGACAGCGGGAGGGCCACGCCGUAAAACCCCCAACUUCUCAAAGGUUGACCUCAGAUCAGGUAGGAAUACCCGCUGAACUUAAGC